rnacentral:rRNA from 1 species
UACAGAGGCCUCGAGCGUUAGGCGGAAUCACUGGGCUUAAAGCGUGUGUAGGCGGACUUCUAAGUACCUUGUGAAAUCCCACGGCUCACCCGUGGAACUGCUUGGUAUACUGGUUGUCUUGAGCCUUCUAGGGGCGAGUGGAACAAAUGGUGGAGCGGUGAAAUGCGUAGAUAUCGGGAGGAACACCAAUGGCGAAGGCAGCUCGCUGGGACGUUACUGACGCUGAGACGCGAAAGCGUGGGGAGCAAACAGG